CCAAGUCCCAAGUCCCAAGUCGCAAACCAAAUACUUAGCAAAUUAAAUCAGAUCUUCAGAUCUUAGGGCUUCUUCCAUCGUCACUCUCUAUCUCUCAGCCGACGCUCCUUCGCUCCGCCCUCUUAUUCGAAGCCGUGAACCGCCGCGACCUGCAGUAGAUGCCACCGCCACUGCUAGCCUCCACCACCGCUGUUCAGGCCAUUGAAAAUGACUGAGCCUUCAAAGGUCAUUCAUGUUCGUAAUGUUUGGGCCAUGAGAUUUCUGAGGUAAGGGAUGAGCUUCGUAAUGAAACUUUGCAGCUUGCUAGGGAAAAUCUAGAAAAAGAACCAAGGAUCAUGGAGCUUAGAAAUCAGGUUGCUUAUGAUGAUUUUGUUGCUGCUGGAUCAUUUGCAGUUGCAAGAGAGGAAAAGACUUCUAAGUUUGUUUUUCCAAGUAUUGUUUAUGUUUUCUGUAUGAUUUUUGCAUUUUGAAAUCUAUCACGGUCUAAUUUUGGUGAAGGUCUACACUUGAUCAAAGUCAUUGAAGAAGGUUGUGGAUGCUUCAUUGAUCAAAGCCAUUGAAGUAGUGCCGGAUUUGAAGGCUUAUUUGGGUGCAACAUACUUAAGUAGUAUCAAUUUAGUAUAUAUUUU